AUUGAACGCUGGCGGCAGGCCUAACACAUGCAAGUCGAGCGGAUGAAGGGAGCUUGCUCCUGGAUUCAGCGGCGGACGGGUGAGUAAUGCCUAGGAAUCUGCCUGGUAGUGGGGGAUAACGUCCGGAAACGGGCGCUAUACCGCAUACGUCCUGAGGUCGAAAGUGGGGGAUCUUCGGACCUCACGCUAUCAGAUGAGCCUAGGUCGGAUUAGCUAGUUGGUGGGGUAAAGGCCUACCAAGGCGACGAUCCGUAACUGGUCUGAGAGGAUGAUCAGUCACACUGGAACUGAGACACGGUCCAGACUCCUACGGGAGGCAGCAGUGGGGAAUAUUGGACAAUGGGCGAAAGCCUGAUCCAGCCACGCCGCGUGUGUGAAGAAGGUCUUCGGAUUGUAAAGCACUUUAAGUUGGGAGGAAGGGCAGUAAGUUAAUACCUUGCUGUUUUGACGUUACCAACAGAAUAAGCACCGGCUAACUUCGUG
rnacentral:rRNA from 1 species